CUUGGGUGGGUUUUGGGUGUUUCGUGGUGAACCCCAAGUGAAGUUGAGGAAUUUCUCAUGCGCAGUUUGGUGAAGGUCGGGCGUUUCUUGAUGAAGUUCAGAAGAACCUUGGGUGUUCCUUGGGUGAACCUUGAGUGUUUCUUGGGUGUUCCUUGGACUUUCCUUGAGUGAAGGUCAGGUGGACCUUGGGCAUUCCUUAGA